rnacentral:tRNA from 1 species
GUUAUAUACGAUGACAUGGCUGAAUGGUUAAAGCGCCCAACUCAUAAUUGGCAAAUUCGUAGGUUCAAUUCCUGCUGGAUGCA